AAAAAGAAUACGACUAAAACAUAUAUUUACCAUUUAUUUUUAUUAAGAAAAAAAGAUGAUUAUAGAAAGGAAAAGAACAUAUCUGAUGAGGUUUUAUGUUCUUAUUUGGACAUGGGAGGACAUCCUCUCGAUCAAGAGAUUAGAUGUUCGAAUCUCUCCGUCUCAAAGCUUGGAAAACGUCGGGUUGCGUUUGUUAGCUUGGGCGGAGAUGGCUUCCUUGAGAUCAUCUGAAAGUAGAGUCCCUGAGUUCCAAGUUGCAACAUAAUCCAAGCCUUGUUCUACAUUUAGGUCUCUGCUUCUUAGUAGCACUGCCUUUGUUCCCACCACAGCCAAUGGAGAUUUUGAUGCUAUUUCUUGAGCAAGUUUGAGGACUCCAUCUUGGAGUUCCAACUUGGAAGCAAAAGUUUGGGAAACCAAGCCCAUUUCCUUAGCCUCCAAGCCCGAAAAAUCCCGGCCCGUCAACGCCAACUCCACCGCCUUCCCAUACCCUACGAUCCUCGGCAGCCUCUGCAGAGUCCCAAGAUCCGCCGUAAUCCCCAAUUUAACCUCCCUCACCGAAAACACCGCCUCCGCCGUGCAAUACCUCAAAUCACACGCCGUCACUAUGUCAACCCCUCCCCCGAUGCAACCUCCGUGGAUGCUCGCAAUCACCGGCUUCCGGCACUCCUCGAUCGCCGUGAUCGACUCCUGCAUCCACUUGAUUUCACGCCGGAGCUUCUCACCUGCCCGCCCCCGCUCCUCCGACAGAAGCUUCUGGAAGUUGGAGAACGUAGAUUUGAGGUCGAUUCCGGCGCAGAAGUGCUUGCCGGAUCCGGAGAGGAUGAUGACGUGGACGUCGGGGUUUUGAUCCAGAUAUGAGAACGCUCGACGGAGUUCGGCGAAGAGUUCGGUUGUGAGGGCGUUGUAGUGCGACGGACGGUGGAGGCGGAGGUGGAAUACGCCGGAGUUUGGGUUUUGACGCUCGAUUUUUAGGGAUUUGUAGGCUUCCAUUGCCCCGGCGGAGUUUAGUCUUUUAAAG
rnacentral:misc_RNA from 1 species